rnacentral:rRNA from 1 species
AACACAUGCAAGUCGAGGGGCAGCAUGGUCUUAGCUUGCUAAGGCCGAUGGCGACCGGCGCACGGGUGAGUAACACGUAUCCAACCUGCCGUCUACUCUUGGACAGCCUUCUGAAAGGAAGAUUAAUACAAGAUGGCAUCAUGAGUCCGCAUGUUCACAUGAUUAAAGGUAUUCCGGUAGACGAUGGGGAUGCGUUCCAUUAGAUAGUAGGCGGGGUAACGGCCCACCUAGUCUUCGAUGGAUAGGGGUUCUGAGAGGAAGGUCCCCCACAUUGGAACUGAGACACGGUCCAAACUCCUACGGGAGGCAGCAGUGAGGAAUAUUGGUCAAUGGGCGAGAGCCUGAACCAGCCAAGUAGCGUGAAGGAUGACUGCCCUAUGGGUUGUAAACUUCUUUUAUAAAGGAAUAAAGUCGGGUAUGGAUACCCGUUUGCAUGUACUUUAUGAAUAAGGAUCGGCUAACUCCGUGCCAGCAGCCGCGGUAAUACGGAGGAUCCGAGCGUUAUCCGGAUUUAUUGGGUUUAAAGGGAGCGUAGAUGGAUGUUUAAGUCAGUUGUGAAAGUUUGCGGCUCAACCGUAAAAUUGCAGUUGAUACUGGAUAUCUUGAGUGCAGUUGAGGCAGGCGGAAUUCGUGGUGUAGCGGUGAAAUGCUUAGAUAUCACGAAGAACUCCGAUUGCGAAGGCAGCCUGCUAAGCUGCAACUGACAUUGAGGCUCGAAAGUGUGGGUAUCAAACAGGAUUAGAUACCCUGGUAGUCCACACGGUAAACGAUGAAUACUCGCUGUUUGCGAUAUACUGCAAGCGGCCAAGCGAAAGCGUUAAGUAUUCCACCUGGGGAGUACGCCGGCAACGGUGAAACUCAAAGGAAUUGACGGGGGCCCGCACAAGCGGAGGAACAUGUGG